GUGCCAGCCGCCGCGGUAAUACAGAGAGUGCGAACGUUGUUCGGAAUCACUGGGCAUAAAGCGCGCGUAGGCGGCUUCGUAAGUGCGGGGUGAAAUCCCACGGCUUACCCGUGGAACUGCCCCGCAGACUGCGGAGCUAGAGGAUGGUAGGGGAGAGCGGAACUCCAGGUGGAGCGGUGAAAUGCGUAGAGAUCUGGAGGAACACCGGUGGCGAAGGCGGCUCUCUGGUCCAUUACUGACGCUGAGGUGCGAAAGCUAGGGGAGCAAACGGGAUUAGAUACCCCAGUAGUCC
rnacentral:rRNA from 1 species